rnacentral:rRNA from 1 species
CCUACGGGAGGCAGCAGUGGGGAAUAUUGGACAAUGGGGGCAACCCUGAUCCAGCCAUGCCGCGUGUGUGAAGAAGGCCCUCGGGUUGUAAAGCACUUUCAGUGAGGAAGAACGCCUGGUGGUUAAUACCCAUCAGGAAAGACAUCACUCACAGAAGAAGCACCGGCUAACUCCGUGCCAGCAGCCGCGGUAAUACGGAGGGUGCGAGCGUUAAUCGGAAUUACUGGGCGUAAAGCGCGCGUAGGUGGCUUGAUAAGCCGGUUGUGAAAGCCCCGGGCUCAACCUGGGAACGGCAUCCGGAACUGUCAAGCUAGAGUGCAGGAGAGGAAGGUAGAAUUCCCGGUGUAGCGGUGAAAUGCGUAGAGAUAGGGAGGAAUACCAGUGGCGAAGGCGGCCUUCUGGACUGACACUGACACUGAGGUGCGAAAGCGUGGGUAGCAAACAGGAUUAGAUACCCGAGUAGUC